ACACGUCUACAUUAGAUACCCCGGUAGUCCCAGCCGUAAACUAUGCGCGUUAGGUGUAUCGGUGACCACGAGUUACCGAGGUGCCGAAGGGAAACCGUGAAACGUGCCGCCUGGGAAGUACGGUCGCAAGGCUGAAACUUAAAGGAAUUGGCGGGGAGCACCACAACGGGUGGAGCCUGCGGUUUAAUUGGACUCAACGCCGGGAAGCUCACCGGAUAAGACAGCGGAAUGAUUGCCGGGCUGAAGACUCUGCAUGACUAGCUG
rnacentral:rRNA from 1 species